AACGAACGCUGGCGGCAUGCCUAACACAUGCAAGUCGAACGAGACCUUCGGGUCUAGUGGCGCACGGGUGCGUAACGCGUGGGAACCUUCCCUUAGGUUCGGAAUAACUCCCCGAAAGGGGUGCUAAUACCGGAUAAUGUCUUCGGACCAAAGAUUUAUCGCCUUUGGAUGGGCCCGCGUUGGAUUAGCUAGUUGGUAGGGUAAAAGCCUACCAAGGCGACGAUCCAUAGCUGGUCUGAGAGGAUGGUCAGCCACACUGGGACUGAGACACGGCCCAGACUCCUACGGGAGGCAGCAGUGGGGAAUAGUGGACAAUGGGCGAAAGCCUGAUCCAGCAAUGCCGCGUGAGUGAUGAAGGCCUUAGGGUUGUAAAGCUCUUUUACCCGGGAUGAUAAUGACAGUACCGGGAGAAUAAGCCCCGGCUAACUACGUG
rnacentral:rRNA from 1 species